UAUGCUGUCACGACCUGGAAUCUGGUGGUUGGGUCCAGGAGUCUCAGGAAAACUCCAAAUCUGCCCGUGCUUAAGACCUUAUUUAAGAUGAACAUACUUGCAUACAGCAUCCUCCCAGAGGACUUGGAACACUAAGGAAUGCAGGCGCUUGGUAAGCAGCCACUACGAUGCAUAUAGGGGACAUGACAAGAAAAAUAAGCUGCCACAUGCUUAGUAGCAGUAUGCCUGGACACGAUUUUCCACCUGUGGUUAUCUGAGGACAGACACCUAGAGCCAAAUGUAAUCUUAAUUAUGUAUCAGAGGAAAAGCACUUAUGGGCCUCAUGACAAUACACACCCUCACAUGCAUGUUUAAGCCUGUGUCCUGGAGAGUGGUGGCUUCGUAACUUGGACAGACUGCUGCUUCCCCAGCCUAGGAAAGCAGAGACUCACCAGAGGGCGAGAGCAGGGCCUGAGCCAACUGGGCAGCCAGCUCUAGCUCCAUUUCCAUACACUGUAUACUGCUCCCCCCGCACCUACUGCUCACAGCUGAAGGGGCUACUGAAAAGCUCCUCCGGCUUCCUUCCUCUGAGCCGCAGACCCCAAUUAACCCCAUUCUCCCUGCUCAUUCUAUACAGUUCUCUCCACCCACCAGCCCUAGCCAUACCUGCUUCCCCUGGAGCCUAGAACACUGGAAAUCUGCUUGAAGGGUUUUUCAUCCUCUAGACUCACCAGUCCAUUAUUCUUAUCCUUCCCUGACCACAUCACAGGAAGCAUUCCUCUUAGGCACCGGAACAACUCUGAAACGAUUCCGUUACUCAAGACCGUUACUCAAGACGUUCUUUUAUUUCCUUGCUUCCUUGGCUACCAACUUCCCUGUGCGCCCAACUGUGGGAUCCAUGAAAAAGAACCAUUGCUGUCUCGUUCACUCCCCGAUCAUCAAGCCCAACAAAGUACCAGACACUUGUUUCCAGCUUCAGAAGACACAGAUGGCAGAGGACACAUCUCUCCCUAAGCAACAGCCCAGCUCUGGGCAGAAACCGGAGCGAGGGAAGCUUCGCCUCUUUGGUCUGAGGUCAUACAAAGACUUCAGUACAAAGAGAAUUAACUCAACGGCUUCGUCUAGCUCCUGUGCCCGCGUAUAUUUACAAAUGCCCCACUGAGCGACAGUGUUCUGAUCUUGAAGCUGCUCACCGAGUUUCUGUUCGAUUUCAGAAUCAGGGUUGCGUCUACGGAUGAGUGCAUUUUAAAAGACACUUCAGUGGCUUCAAAUGAGGCAUGCAGGCCUGCGUGGGGGUGUGCCUGCGAGUGUGUGUAGGCCUGCUCGCCAUCAUCAAAUGAUGCUGUGAAAGAACUCUAGGUGUGUCUACACAUGCUGUCUCAGUACAUGCUUAAAGAGUCACUAAGUGAAAACCAGUGGGUCGGGGACUCUGUGAAUGACAAGCUUGCUGGCCUUGGCUCUUUAUUGGGAAAAGAUACAGCUGUGGGUUCACUGGUCCUUGACCAUUUCAGUCGAGGCCUAAGCAAGUAGCGUUUCUAAAAGAAAGCACCAAAACAAGCAACGAAAUGCCACCAGAUCAAGAGGGAAACCUACCCCCCAUAAACACGCACCGCACCGUGCACACAGCCCUGAAAAGCCAAGCAGUAGCCGCCAUGCCGUCACCUACUGUAACAAGACUAUCUGUAAUGAAAUAGAGAUCAUGCAAUCCAGAGGAAAUAAUGUGUGUUUCCUCCAAGAAGGUCUGGGGUUGUCAACCGCAGGCUUGCUUCCCACUUCUGCCUGCCAGAGCACACACAGCACACACACACAGCCAUACAGCAGGCAGACAGGCUAUCCGUCCUCUUUCUGACAAGGCACACCUGUAAAGCAGUGUCUCUUCCACCCGGGUGCCCAGCCCCACUGCCAAGCCCAAGCCACAGGCUAUGUUCAGGAAGGUAGAGUCACUAUCAGUGGCCACCUUGAAAUGGGCUUCAGAAAAAGACCGCAGUGGCAUCCACUCAUUUGCUAACACUAGAUUUCUGGAUUUCCGGUUGUAACAAUCACAUUUCCAGAGUCUGUGUGGAGGAUGCAGAAUACCUUGUCUUGGUUUCCUGUGUCUGUCACCAUUAUUUGGAACAUUGCUUUCAUAAGUAGAGUGACCAGAAACAAAGGUCCUGGAAGAGGGGAGGUAGCAGCUGUGUAAACUCUUAAAUAUCCUUUCUGAGGUGUCUCAGAACAACAUGGUCCUCUAAGAACAAUGUCUGUAAAUAAUUAACAGUAAUUCCACUGUUAGUAUCUCUUAUGUGUGUGUUCAAUAUAAAAGCGAUUCAUAAACUGUGGUAUCUCAAAAACAAAUGCUUUCAAAAUUCUGGUGCUCAGGGUCAAAAAAACCAUUUCACUACACAAAGUAUGGAUAAAAAUGCAUAAGUUGCAUGAAAGUUGGGAAAUCUUAAAAAAUCAAUAAAUAGAAAUUGAGUAUAUG
rnacentral:lncRNA from 1 species